ensembl:ncRNA Y54E10A.25 ncRNA
UGCCUGCGUCUCUUCCGGUUUACUGUACAAAUGUAUUAUGUAUUGGCGCCCACCCGCGUCGCGAAGAAUCACUUUGCGCAGCAGCCCCAACAACAGCAGCAUCAGCAACAAUGAUUCUGUGUGCCCGCAGGCAGGCGGAUCGGGACGGGCCUCUCUCUCUGUCUCUACGAAUCCAUUGCGCGCCUAUUUUUCACAUCAGCAACACACGCCUU